rnacentral:lncRNA from 1 species
UACAUUUGAGAAACCUUGUGUCCAUCUUUCUUUUUGACAGGAGGCCUCGUAUGCCUUCUUCUAGGAGGACUCUCAGCUGAUGUUGGUUUUUUUAGUCUGUAUGAGCGAUGGACAAGCUGUCACUACCCGUUAGAUUUUGGGUGGUCCCAGGGGACCAUCCCAAGUUUGAGGAAAGUUGGCAAUGGAAAAAGGAGCAUCUGAUAGGAGCAGUCAGUGAAGUCCUUGGUGGCUAGCUGGACCUAGGGACUUGUCAACUAAAUGUACCAGAUUUUCAAGAUAUCAAGGUAUCAAGCUCCUUUAGACGUUGAUAAGAAGUGGGGUGUGACCUGGACAUAGCCACUGCGGAAAGGAUCCCACUGCCCCGCCCUGGGGACAGUGGCAAGUAAGGACUGUACUCUGUCUCUCUGGGCACUGCCCUGCUGGGAGACCAUGCUUCCUCAGCUACAUGGGAUCACUUGGAUGCCAGUGUGCCCAGGUGCUUGAUGGCACUUAUGACUAACUGCACCAGCUUUGCAUGUCCUCCUUCC